AGGAAGGGAAGUACAGUGUUCCAGAAUUCUUUUAGGUCAUCUGGCGAGCACCCCGGUAUUUCUCCCGCACAUUAAUUUCCUUGGAGUCCACUUCACACGAGCCCAACUGGCAGACAUUCUCUCUUUUUUUCUCUUUAUAGAACUAUAAAACUGUGUUAUUUGAGUUAUACAUUACCAUAAUGGAUGCGGUAAUAGUGCUUUGUCAGCUGUAUCUCCCUGUUGGCUGUCUCUGCUUUUGCCUUGAGGAGCUAUUAUUGUACUGUAGCAAAUGUUAAGAAAAAGAGUAGACUUCUAUCUUAUUUAUUAACAAUGGUGAGUAAUUAUAUCUUAAAACAUUUGUCCACUCCAUUUACCCUCCAUAACAUAGUUUCUUGCCAAGAAGACAUUAUUUAAGAGAAAUUGAAAGAACAUAUGCAUUGUGCACUGCCCCAGUAUCACCAUCACCUCCACCUCUACUUCCUGGGUAAUCCUGUGUGCUGAAUUACUCACUUUCUAACCCAGCUCUUCAUUUUUCAGCAAAGAAGAAUUGUGUUUAUAAGAUGUGUGAAAAGAGAAGAAAGAUGUUUGUCAGUAGGUUGGUUUACUCUGUGAAAGUAAGUGUCCUUAGGACGCAUCACUUCUGUUGUAAGAGUCUUAAUGGGAAUAAGCUUUAAGUGGAACCAAACAACUUCAAAUGCCCUGUUAUUUAUC
rnacentral:lncRNA from 1 species